rnacentral:tRNA from 1 species
GGAGAGGUGUCCGAGUCUGGCUUAAGGGGCACGAUUGGAAAUCGUGUGACCCGAGAAAUCGGGUCCGAGGGUUCGAAUCCCUCCCUCUCCG